rnacentral:rRNA from 1 species
UACGUAGGGGGCGAGCGUUGUCCGGAGUUACUGGGCGUAAAGCGCUUGUAGGCGGUCCACCAAGUUUGGGGUGACAGUUGCCGACUUAAUCGGCAAAGUGCCUCAAAGACUGGCGGACUUGAGGGCCACAGAGGGACAUGGAACUCCAGGUGUAGUGGUGAAAUGCGUAGAUAUCUGGAAGAACACUAAAGGCGAAGGCAGUGUCCUGGGUGGUCGCUGACGCUGAGAGGCGAAAGCCAGGGGAGCGAACGGG